rnacentral:rRNA from 1 species
UGAGUAACCUGCCCUUAACUCUGGGAUAAGCCUGGGAAACUGGGUCUAAUACCGGAUAUGACUCCUCAUCGCAUGGUGGGGGGUGGAAAGCUUUAUUGUGGUUUUGGAUGGACUCGCGGCCUAUCAGCUUGUUGGUGAGGUAAUGGCUUACCAAGGCGACGACGGGUAGCCGGCCUGAGAGGGUGACCGGCCACACUGGGACUGAGACACGGCCCAGACUCCGUACGGGAGGCAG